ACCCAGACUCCUACGGGAGGCAGCAGUGGGGAAUAUUGCACAAUGGGGGAAGCCCUGAUGCAGCGACGCCGCGUGAGCGAUGAAGUAUUUCGGUAUGUAAAGCUCUAUCAGCAGGGAAGAAAAUGACGGUACCUGACUAAGAAGCCCCGGCUAACUACGUGCCAGCAGCCGCGGUAAUACGUAGGGGGCAAGCGUUAUCCGGAUUUACUGGGUGUAAAGGGAGCGUAGACGGCGGUGCAAGCCAGAUGUGAAAGCCCGGGGCUCAACCCCGGGACUGCUCUUGGAACUGCGCGGCUGGAGUGCAGGAGGGGCAGGCGGAAUUCCUGGUGUAGCGGUGAAAUGCGUAGAUAUCAGGAGGAACACCGGUGGCGAAGGCGGCCUGCUGGACUGCGACUGACGUUGAGGCCCGAAAGCGUGGGGAGCAAACAGGAUUAGAUACCCUCGUA
rnacentral:rRNA from 1 species